rnacentral:sRNA from 1 species
UUCAGUAUACCGAGAGAGUCUGGUGUAUGGGUACGUUCAUGUUGAGUCAAUACAUUUCAGUAUACCGAGAGAGUCUGGUGUAUGGGUACGUUCAUGUUGAGUCAAUACAUUUCAGUAUACCGAGAGAGUCUGGUGUAUGGGUACGUUCAUGUUGAGUCAAUACAUUUCAGUAUACCGAGAGAGUCUGAUGUAUGGGCACGUUCAUGUUGAGUCAAUACAUUUCAGUAUACCGAGAGAGUCUGGUGUAUGGGUACGUUCAUGUUGAGUCAAUAAAUUUCAGUCGUUGAGGCAUUUCUAUGACUUUUACGUUUCCUUGAACUUUUCAAUGACACCUUUAAUUAUUUGACCUUUGUGUGAUGUCGUAUGGCUGAGAGACAUCAACCACUUAGCUACCUAUUAAAGGGGAUUGAGUUCGAAACCCGACUUAAACAGAGUUGUGUUUGCUGAGUGCGUCAAGGCAACAUGGAAACUUUCUCCCAGAUAUCCCCUCCUC